rnacentral:rRNA from 1 species
CCCCAGACUCCUACGGGAGGCAGCAGUGGGGAAUAUUGCACAAUGGGGGAAACCCUGAUGCAGCGACGCCGCGUGAGUGAAGAAGUAUUUCGGUAUGUAAAGCUCUAUCAGCAGGGAAGAAAAUGACGGUACCUGACUAAGAAGCCCCGGCUAACUACGUGCCAGCAGCCGCGGUAAUACGUAGGGGGCAAGCGUUAUCCGGAUUUACUGGGUGUAAAGGGAGCGUAGACGGCUGUGCAAGCCAGAUGUGAAAGCCCGGGGCUCAACCCCGGGACUGCAGUUGGAACUGUGUGGCUGGAGUGUCGGAGAGGCAGGCGGAAUUCCUAGUGUAGCGGUGAAAUGCGUAGAUAUUAGGAGGAACACCAGUGGCGAAGGCGGCCUGCUGGACGAUGACUGACGUUGAGGCUCGAAAGCGUGGGGAGCAAACAGGAUUAGAUACCCGUGUAAUA